AUUAAAUAUAUUAAUACGGGACAAUAUACUACGGGUGAAAUCUUAUAUAUAAAAU
rnacentral:sRNA from 1 species